GACGAACGCUGGCGGCGUGCUUAACACAUGCAAGUCGAACGGAAAGACCCUGCUUUUGUGGGGUGCUCGAGUGGCGAACGGGUGAGUAACACGUGAGUAACCUGCCCUUGACUUUGGGAUAACUUCAGGAAACUGGGGCUAAUACCGGAUAGGAGUUCCUGCUGCAUGGUGGGGGUUGGAAAGUUUCGGCGGUUGGGGAUGGACUCGCGGCUUAUCAGCUUGUUGGUGGGGUAGUGGCUUACCAAGGCUUUGACGGGUAGCCGGCCUGAGAGGGUGAUCGGCCACAUUGGGACUGAGAUACGGCCCAGACUCCUACGGGAGGCAGCAGUGGGGAAUAUUGCACAAUGGGCGGAAGCCUGAUGCAGCAACGCCGCGUGCGGGAUGACGGCCUUCGGGUUGUAAACCGCUUUCGCCUGUGACGAAGCGUGAGUGACGGUAAUGGGUAAAGAAGCACCGGCUAACUACGUG
rnacentral:rRNA from 1 species